AGCGAAUCUACAGCUUUGAAAAGUAUCGUCUUAAAGAUCUUGUUCUGAGGAUUACAAAUAUGAAGAAAAAUGUUUUGUAUGUUGUUUCUUUGAAUGGACAUAUCAUAUAGCUUAUAAACAACAUGUAAUUACAAUAACAGCUCGUAAAAAACAUUUUUUAACGUUUGAGUU